rnacentral:snoRNA from 1 species
GAUGAUCCAACCCUAAUGCAUAGUUCACACUGAAUUCGAUGUGGAACACUAUCAUCUUGUCUUUCGCUCCUAACUGA